rnacentral:tRNA from 2 species
GGUUUCUUAGCUCAAUAGGUUAGAGCGUUCACUACAGGUGAAAGGUCGGCGGUUCGAGUCCUCCAGUAACCA